CUUCACUAACUUGUAAUACUAUAUUACAAGCCACUUUGUAAUAACUUUAUUACAAAGACUUUACAACUUGACUAACUCUAACCAAGACUCAAACACAAAGGUUUAAGGUUUACAAUGAGUUUCCUACAGAAUACUUCUAAACAAGCUAAGUAGGAAAUAUAGUUUAAUAACUGUUACAAAGUUACAACUCAACUAAGGACAUACAAUGACUUGUUGUGGGGAACUAGUUCGUAGUAGUGUUGUUCUUUGUUCUUGAUGCACUUGAGAAUUGAUUGCGUGAUGAUCAAUGACCGUGAGAGUGCUUGAAUGAAUUCUCUAAGUGAACCACUAAUUUGUUUUUACCUUCCUUAAUGUUAAUAGUGCAUUUGUGACAUCACUAAAAUGAUGUAAGCAAGGUAGGUAAAAGACACUCCCCAUAAAGUUGACUGCUGCACUGUUUCUGCAUUGUAGCGUGUGCAUGUAGCAACUUUACAGUUGGGGCAGUUGACUUCUACAAUUUCCUCGGGAAUGAUAGUUAUCCGUUCCCUCUGUUGUUCCUCUGGCUCUGAAGAGUCGAGACAUAUUCCAAGCUGGAACCUUUCGAUCUUAAGGUCUUGAGGAUAUGUAACCGGUUCCUUAUCUGGUUCUUGACAGUAAAUUUGUUAGAUCAUCAAAACAUAAAGCAAGGUACUUGUAACCUAUCAAGUCCCAAUAUGAUUAUGUUUUAGCCAUAACUAUAAGAACACAAAAGAGCUUCUGAGAACGUGCACCUUAUAUUUGAUAGAUGGUGAGGGUAUCAUAUCCAUUUGCAUCAAAAAAAUCAGAGGCAACAUAAAGAUCGAGAGUUGUUGACAUAUUCGACAUUUUUCUGAUCCAUUUCUCUGCAACCAUUUUGCAUAAAGUCACGUUGUACCUGUAAAUGAAAUAUAAUUCAUGCAGAGCUGGGGUCAUAUGAAAGAGAAAACUCAAAUAUAACUAUAAGAAACCAAAUUCUCAGGGUAGGAAUAGAGUGCCCAGAGUAGGAAGAAUACUUUCAUUCUUGCAGCCUCAAUUGCAUUUAGCAUGAUGAUACUCAUAUUUACUCCGUUAAUAUGGUAGUCCUUUUCACACCACUGCAGAAUGGUACACACUCAUCUCAAAAUACUUUUGUGAUUACAAUAUACAAAUGCGUGAACAAAAUUUUAACUUAUUAUAUUAAGAGGAAAGAUAGUACUGGAUCUUGUACUCCACACAUACUACAUAAAAAGCUAAAGAAAAAUUCAUUUUUGAGUCAUUAGUUCACUGCUGCUUCUAUGACCAAAAUUUGGUCUUUACCAAAUGAAAAUAAAUUGGUACGUUAACGUUUACCUUCAUGCAUAUCUGAUUUUACUUUAGAACUCUUAUAUCUCUGCUGCCACAUUAUAUGUCCUCCAACCAAAUUAAAGGUGGCGAGUAAGAUCAUUAGUUGUUGUAACUUCCUCCGGAAUCACUAAAAGGAAACACUUAUUUUCAUCUUCAGAGUGGGAAAAACAGAUGCAUAAAAAAUCAAGCACAGAGAAAGAAAAGUAAAGAAACCCAUGAUAAAUUAAGUCAAAAAUCAAUAAAGGAUACACACAAAAAAAAACGAAAUGAAAGAGGUGAAAAUUCCCAAAAUAAGAAUACAUACCUAUGAAUAAAUGAAAGAGCUUAACAGGAACGAAAGGUGAUGCUAUGAGUGAGACUUGAAGUGAAAUUUUGGUCAGGCGUUGAAGGCUAGAUAGCACUGCCAUGGAAGUUCUAAAAAUCUGGUUCCUGAAA
rnacentral:lncRNA from 1 species